CACUUCGAAAGCUACUCACGAGUUUCACCUCAUCUUCCAACAAGGACGAAAGCUUCUCCAGUAGAAAACUCACCACACUCUCUGCCAUGGCACAAAGAAACGAAGACUUUUGAGUCUACGAGAGACGACGUUGGAGUCUGAAGCUCGGUUGUUCAAAUGUGUCAUUUCGGGUGAGAAACUAGAAGAAAAAUGGGACUGCAAUG